CUCUUCUUCUCUCUUCUCUCUCGUUCGAAACAGCGAUGGAAGAGGCGAUUCGUCGGAAAAUCUGGAAAUUCAAUCGAUUUACAGCGAUGGAAGAGGACGGCGAGGUCGACCGGCUAACAAAUCGGCGAGAUAAGUUCGUGAGAAGACAGAGAAAGUGUAAAUAUGGGGAAGUGUAAAUAUUAAGAAAGAGAGACAGAGAAAGUGUAAAUAUGGGGAAGUUCGUGAGAAGGGGUUGGGUAGUGGCGUGUGUGUUGGUGUUACUGAUGUCGACUCAUUUUACAUCCCCUAUCCGGAGAUAUGCCGAUGUCUUUGUCCAUAGGUUACUUGCGGCAUCAUUAGGAAUAUAUAAGCUUCCAACAGUGUUCCAAGACAGGUCUCAACUUACUAGCGUUGCUGAUAGUAAGAGUCCACUUACCCUCUGUGGAUUAUUCAAGGGUUUAUUAUUUUCCGGCAUCUUGAGUGCUCUGACAAAAUUUGUAAACUUAAGAGUCUUUUGUCCCUUUCCUGAUGUGACGAUAAGGAGAACAUGCUAAAACUCAACUUUUCAUUUUUGUUAUCUUAAAGAUCUUGGAUGAUGAUCGUCUUUUACUAAAGCACCGGAGUUAAGUAUUAUAAUUCAUUGA